UGAAAUGGGGCUGCUUACCAUGCAGUCGAGCGCACUCUUCGGAGUGAGCGGCGGACGGGUUAGUAACGCGUGGGAACGUGCCCUUCUCUAAGGAAUAGCCACUGGAAACGGUGAGUAAUACCUUAUACGCCCUUCGGGGGAAAGAUUUAUCGGAGAAGGAUCGGCCCGCGUUAGAUUAGAUAGUUGGUGGGGUAAUGGCCUACCAAGUCUACGAUCUAUAGCUGGUUUUAGAGGAUGAUCAGCAACACUGGGACUGAGACACGGCCCAGACUCCUACGGGAGGCAGCAGUGGGGAAUCUUGGACAAUGGGCGCAAGCCUGAUCCAGCCAUGCCGCGUGAGUGAUGAAGGCCUUAGGGUCGUAAAGCUCUUUCGCCAGAGAUGAUAAUGACAGUAUCUGGUAAAGAAACCCCGGCUAACUCCGUGCCAGCAGCCGCGGUAAUACGGAGGGGGUUAGCGUUGUUCGGAAUUACUGGGCGUAAAGCGCACGUAGGCGGAUCAGAAAGUAUAGGGUGAAAUCCCAGGGCUCAACCCUGGAACUGCCUUGUAAACUCCUGGUCUUGAGUUCGAGAGAGGUGAGUGGAAUUCCGAGUGUAGAGGUGAAAUUCGUAGAUAUUCGGAGGAACACCAGUGGCGAAGGCGGCUCACUGGCUCGAUACUGACGCUGAGGUGCGAAAGUGUGGGGAGCAAACAGGAUUAGAUACCCUGGUAG
rnacentral:rRNA from 1 species